AGAGUUUGAUCAUGGCUCAGAUUGAACGCUGGCGGAAUGCUUUACACAUGCAAGUCGAGCGGCAGCACGGGGGCAACCCUGGUGGCGAGCGGCGAACGGGUGAGUAAUACAUCGGAACAUGCCCAGUCGUGGGGGAUAACACUUCGAAAGAAGUGCUAAUACCGCAUACGUCCUGAGGGAGAAAGCGGGGGAUCGCAAGACCUCGCGCGACUGGAGUGGCCGAUGUCAGAUUAGCUAGUUGGUGGGGUAAAGGCCUACCAAGGCAACGAUCUGUAGCUGGUCUGAGAGGAUGAUCAGCCACACUGGGACUGAGACACGGCCCAGACUCCUACGGGAGGCAGCAGUGGGGAAUUUUGGACAAUGGGGGCAACCCUGAUCCAGCCAUUCCGCGUGAGUGAAGAAGGCCUUCGGGUUGUAAAGCUCUUUCGGCAGGAACGAAACGGUGAGCUCUAACAUAGCUUGCUAAUGACGGUACCUGAAGAAGAAGCACCGGCUAACUACGUGCCAGCAGCCGCGGUAAUACGUAGGGUGCGAGCGUUAAUCGGAAUUACUGGGCGUAAAGCGUGCGCAGGCGGUUGUGUAAGACAGGUGUGAAAUCCCCGGGCUUAACCUGGGAACUGCGCUUGUGACUGCACAGCUAGAGUAUGGCAGAGGGGGGUGGAAUUCCACGUGUAGCAGUGAAAUGCGUAGAGAUGUGGAGGAACACCGAUGGCGAAGGCAGCCCCCUGGGCCAAUACUGACGCUCAUGCA
rnacentral:rRNA from 1 species